rnacentral:SRP_RNA from 1 species
CCGUGCUAGAUGGGGAAUUAGCGGUGCCCUGUUACCUGCAACCCGCUAUAGCAGGAUUGAAUUCCUGUUCUGAGGGAAUAGUUUUUUAAGGUCGGUCUUGAAAAAGUGGCGUUGAUAGUUGGGUCCUGUGCAAUAGGACGCUUUGAAUCGUGUCAGAUCCGGAAGGAAGCAGCACUAAGAAGCUUAUCUUAUGUGCCGCAGGGGAGCCUGAAAGUAGCUAACUGUUCAAGCAGCGCUUAGAAAACGUUCUCGAAGGCAGGUGCACGG